rnacentral:rRNA from 1 species
UACAGAGGUCCCGAGCGUUGUUCGGAUUCACUGGGCGUAAAGGGUGCGUAGGUGGCUGGAAAAGUUUGAUGUGAAAGCUCAGGGCUUAACCCUGAAAUGGCAUUGAAUACUGUCGAGCUGGAGGUUUGGAGGGGGGACUGGAAUUCUUGGUGUAGCAGUGAAAUGCGUAGAUAUCAAGAGGAACACCAGUGGCGAAGGCGAGUCCCUGGACAACACCUGACACUGAGGCACGAAAGCUAGGGGAGCAAACAGG